UAAAAACCUUAAAUUGUCCCCAAUGUCUGCUUCAAAUUGGAUGGCACUGCAGCUGGAGGCUUUGUUCAGAAUUGAUCCUGGGGAGCUACGAACCCAAAGUUUCACAGUAGGAAGGGGGAAAAAAGAAAAGAAAACAUUUUUCCUAAUGUAACAAUGCGAAUGCUAGAAAAUGACAAGACUGAUCGGUUUUAAACCAUUCUGAAGACUGACUGAGCGUGGAAGUUGCUCAACAAAAAAAGGAACGGGUAUAUUGAGGACAGACAAGCACCACUGUGGAGGACAAGCACCAUUGGGGAGGCAGUUAGAGUCUAGUGGCGGCGGGGGACUUUAGAGUCAGACUGCUGAAAAAUCUUCAUUGCUGAGACAAAGGAAAACCCACUCCCUUGGAGGAGCAUGACCUUUUCCUGUAUUGCUUCCCACUGCUGUUGUUGAGCUCCUUGGACCCUGACUCCUGGACACCAUCAUCAAGAAGACUUUAUGGAUGGGCUAUCCACCCACUGAGAGAAGAGGAGCAUCAGCUACAGUUUCUCUCUAGAUUGCCUUCUUCAUUUUGAGUAAUGACUGUCAGCAGGGUCAGAUUAAAGACAAAACAACUGGACAAUUGCUUGGAGGACUAAACUAUAAGGGCACUAACAUAUCAAUAGUAUGCUAACACAUCCAUGGAAAAUAUAUUUACCAGCCCUUCUCUCAGGGAGGAGUCUGUGUGGGGUUGGAAGGAAUAGUCUGUUAAAUUCCUUAGGGGUAGAAAGUAGGGCAUACUCAGAAUGUAGAGGAGCAUGCUGUUUGACUUCAGGGUUUCUGUUUUUCUUACUAGGAUAUAUAAAACAAGGACUCUGGCUAGAUUGUUUAUGACCACAGAGGGUAGGCUGAGUGCUCCCAUGAUCUUCCUGCUUGAUUCUUGCCCCUACAGACCUCAGCCUUUCCUCUAAUAAAGAUUGAACAAGUAGUGGUCUGAGGGAGACACCAAUUCAUUACCCUACAUGUCUCUUCUUUGCACUCUAGGGCUUUGAUAAUAAAGACACUGGCAGACUACCUAUCUUCCAUUUCUAUAAUGUGAGCCCUUAGGGAGUCUUCGUUCACUUGCGGGUGACAGUCAUUGCUUACAGAGUAGUUCAAGUCAAAUGGAACUUGAACUCUUUGCUUAUGGGCCUGGUGGUCAGACUCUGUGUUGAGUUCAUUAGAUUAUUGGAAACACAAGGUAGAGCUGGGCCCUUCAAAAAUAUUUGGCUGAAGGAUGACAUUGCUGGUUAUUUGUAGAUAAAGCCAUCAUGGAACAUGCUUGGAAUUAUGAAAUAUGGAACUGGUGGUCAUGUUUAAUAAUACAACUAAUAGUUAAGUAACUACUGGAUACUGUAGAGACUUAGAAGCAAGACAGACAUGGUUCCUGCCCCCAUGGAGCUUACACUGUAGCUUUCCCUUAGGUAUGAAAAACAGUGGCUACAACUAAUAAAUGGUCAUAAAGAUAUCAUUGAGCCAGUGUUCCAGUUAUUAGAAUAAUUCCUAUUUCCUUAAUCAUGCCUAUUGAUCAUGUUCUAUAAGCCUGCAUUCUAUAAAUGGCCUGUAAGCAUGGGCUGUUUCCCCCCAGCAAGUUGUACAAAGUUCUGUGGUACCAGGCAAAGGGCUUAAGGUUAGCAGGGUCUCUGGGGAAGGACAUAUGAAGUGACUUGGGUCAGGAAACAGGAAGGGAUAGGUUUCAAGAACAGCUAUCGCUUCUGUUCUAUAUAGAAAACUGCAGGAUGAAAAAUGCUGGGCCCCAGCAUUUUUGAGACCUGGGUGUUAGUUUGUGUUCUAAUACUAACAAGCUAUGUGACUGUGGGUAAGUCAUUUCACAUUCCACUUGGAUGCCUCUUGAGUAACUCCAGGCCUCUCCAGCUCUAAAACAUUAAGAUCAGGCCCUAUGCUACAGCUGGCCUUAUGUAAUUCUCCUGUUUCUACACUGUUAGGUCAAAUCAAUCUUCAAUAGUUUCUUGAUUGUUGUUACUUUUUUCUGAAGCGGGUGUUUUACCAGUGUUUCAGGAUACAGUGAGUCUGCUUCUUCCCUUUGGAGUUAGGAAGGUUGUAGCAAUAUACACUGUAGAGCUUAUGGAAGCUUUUUUCCUUCCUUUUUUCCCCCUUACCUUUCUCCCGCUCCUUCCCUUCCUCAAACAUUUCUAUUGAGCAUAUACCAUUGCCAUGUACCAGGUGUGUGCUAGGUUUGGAGAUACAAGGUAAACCUGAGAGUUUCCCAGACUCCAGGAGACAAAACCCUUAUUUCUUUCAUCUGCUGGCUUUCUCUUUGGAAAGAAUCAACGAUGUCCCAGGGGAGUGUGCCCAUGUCCCAGGGUAACCAACUACAGACAGAUGCCCCAUUCUACUCAAGCAACUUUUAGAGUGCCUUGAGAUACACAUCAGUUAAUUAUUCGGGGCUGGGCAUGAUGCUGUACACCUGUAGUCACAGCACUUUGGGUGGCUGAGGCAGCAGAUUGCUUGAGCUCAGGAAUUCAAGACUAGACUAGAGAACAUGGCAAAACCCCAGCUCUACAAAAACAUACAAAAAUUAGCUGCGUGUGGUGGCCCCUGACUAUAGUACAAGCUACUCAGGAGACUGAGGUGGGAGAAUUGCUUGAGCCUGUGAGGUCGAGACUGCAGUGAGCUGAGAUCAUGCCAUUGCACUCCAGCCUGGGUGACAUAGGGAGACCCUGUCUUAAAAAAAAAAAAAAAAAAAAGAUAAUCAUUCAGUCCUAGUGUCAUUGUGAAAAGAUCUGUCUUCAGAUAUAAGGAAGAAAUAAUCUUUUAUUUCUUAGGAUAAAUCUGUAGAAGGACCUCCAGACAGUGAAGGCCACUGACUACUUUAUACUCUGUAACCCAUCCCUUCCCUGGUAGGAAGGACUACUUUCUAAACUUACAAAGUACCUCUCAGCAAAUAGACAUUUUUAUGUAUACUGUGAUUCUUACAUCCCUAUGGGUGGUGACUUCUUUAAAAAGGAAAGGAAAAAGCCUAAUCAGACAAAAAGAUGUUGCUAUUAAUUCUUACCCUAUUGUGAAUCCUAUAUAAGCAAAUUUGUAUCUAUGUUUUUUCCAACAUUAGCAGAUCUAUUUGAUGUAUAUCUCUGAGUGUAGAAAAUAUUUUAUGGAAAAAUCAAUCUAUGGAAUUUCAAAUUCGGAAUUGCUGAUACACACUAUUUGGUUUCAGAAUUUUAUCCUAGGACAUAGUAUUAGGGAUUUCAAUUUCUGGCUUAAAUGGUAGCAUUAAUUACUCUUAACUCUUAAUUUUACUUCUGAGUUGAGGUCAAGGAACAGGCAGACACCUCCAGUUAACGUCUAUACCUCUCCAUGGCCAAGAACUUUAAUUUUCUCGUUUUCAGUUUUGUAGAUGUACAUCGUUACUAAAUGGAUUGAUUAGUAUUUUAUCUCCUCUCCUUGUCCUUACUUUCCCUCUGGUAAAUAUGUUAUAAACAGUGUAAGGCUCAUAAGAUAGAAUAGCUGGUAGGACUUAGAAGAGAAACAUAAUUCACAUAAAUGGAAAUAACUCAAAUAACUGGAACUUAGGAGAGAAACUGGACUAAGAAGAGAAACAUAACUCACAUGAAUGGAAAAUUGGCCCUGGAAUAAUUGACAACAUAUUCAAGUAUUUUAGUUCAGUGUCACUCUCAUUAAGAAGAAGAGAAUCAGUAAAUCUAUGUGACUCUAAACAUUUUAAUGAAAAGAGGACUAUUCUGUCAAUCAUCUCACAUUUUAAAAUAUCUGAAUAUUGGCCAUUGUAAAGACAAAACAUACAGAUGAUGGACUUGUCUUUCUACCUCUCAUUUGCAUGGUUUGGAGCAUUGUACCUCCAGCCAUUGACUCUAAGGCAAUUUAUAUUUGCUUCCUCUUCCCUCUUGAGAGAAAACAAAAAUCUUAUUUUUCCAAGCAAUUAAAACUCUUCUGCUUCAGCUAGGAUGAAAGAAUUAGGAGUUAUGUCUCCUUGUAUCUAAUUGCAUGUUUCAUCUUUCUUGUUUUAAUGAUUGACAGAAAACUAAUAAACUGAGACAUCUUUGAAUCAAGGUUGAAUGUACUCUCUUGGUGGCCCCAUUGCUAAUUUGUUUGACUAUUUUGCAGGAUUUCUUACUCUGUAAUGGAAAGGUUUAUUAAAUAUGAGGGGUGCAAAGCUUUCUGAAUACUAAUGAACUUAUUUGCCAAAAUUUAAAUGUUCUUCUUGUCAGUGAAUGUCUGUCUCUCUUAACAGGAUCCAAAUUGAAUAAUGAAGAAAAUUAGACUCUAUUGUACCCUCAGGAGAAAUCGUGGUGAAUCGUAAUAGAAUACAGAGGGGGAAAGGGGUCACAUUAUAGAAAAAAAGAGUAGAUAAUUUGGAUUAUUAAAAAAGGGAUUAACUCAGGAAAACUAUUCUUUUCAAAGAAAUGUACUAAUCAUCAUUCAGUGAGCAGGAUUUCCCACUGCACAAGCAUCUAUACCUUUGGCCAGUGUAGAAUGAGAGUAAGGUCAUAAUCAUAUGGAGAUGCAUGCUAGGUUUCAGCGGUUACAAUUUACUAACCUCAUUCCCAUAUGAGACUUUUAUAUGCCGUGAUGGAAUGGGAAAAUCAAUAAGCUUGGAAAAGGAGCACUCUUCUUCAGGGAAGUUCAAUGGGAGAUAGGUUGAGUUGGGGAAAUUGUCCCAGUUCUUCCUUUAAGCAUGAAAUGAGGCUGUCCCUUUGUAUAUUUGCUUCCAUUGUCUUGGUGUUAUCACUGAUAAAGUCAGUGAUCAUGAUGCCUUUGCCUUGGCAGCACCUGGGGGCACUGGAGGAGCCAGGUAGCUGUACUCGUGGCCAGGAAGGCAGGCUGCCAGAACUUCAGCAGCCACACAAGUGGCCAAACAUGGUCAGGAACCAAAGUAGUGUGUGUAUGGAGUGAAAUGAAGUGAUGAGGGGAAAGUGAAGGAGGAUAUAAAGGUGGGGUUGUCCAAAGAUGGGAGUUCAUCCCUGUCCUGCACUUGAAAUAGGAAGGCAUGGGCUGGAAGAGGAUUAGGUGAGGAAGGAUCCCGAAGUAGAGAAAAUAAAGGGAAGACUGCAUGCCUUCAGUGUUUGCUAAAAUUAAUUUACCUGAGAUUUCAGGAGGAGGAAAGAAAGAUCAAGAGAAAGGGAAAACAGCCUCAAAGCCUGUGAAAGUUGAAAAACACAAUAUAAACAAAAAUUUUUUAAAGCUAAAAUUAUGCUCUUCUAAGAAAAGAGGCUGGACACUAACGGAAAGCUUGAUGACAGCAGGAUUUGUAUUUAGUGGUUUAUUUAGAUCCCUAAGAGAAAAGGCUUAUGUGACAUAGAUUCGUAAGAUACAAAUGUGUCUUUGGCUGACUAUGAUACCAGGCUUCACUCCCAAAGGAGAAAAGGAGUGGUCAGCGCAUCUCAGAUUAACACCAACCAACUGUGCAGUAUUUCAUUUGAGAAUGCAUUUCGUUGUAUUAUCCAUGAUUAAAUAAAAAGAGACCUAGUGUA